rnacentral:miRNA from 1 species
UGUCCAGUAGCACCUUAGAGACCAACUAAGUUUGUUCUUGGUAUAAGCUUUCAUGUUUAAGCUUUCAUGCACACAAGAACAAACUUAGCUGGUCUCUAAGGUGCUACUGGACU